UAGUCGUCGAGUAGUCGUGACGUGACCAUGUCGUCCCGUGUGCUGUCAUGGCUCCCACACUUCGCUCUCUUGCUGCCUGUCCUGUUGAUGUUAUGUUCCUGCGUAAGCGGUCAAACUAACGGCACAUCGAUCGUGGCAGCUCUCAUCAUCAACAAGAUCGAGAGGUGUAUCGACAAAUUGAACGCCAUUGUCGACGUCAUCGGAUUAGUGGGAUGAGGAGAUGUCG